GAUGAACGCUGGCGGCGUGCCUAAUACAUGCAAGUCGAGCGAACAAAUGAGGAGCUUGCUCCUCUGACGUUAGCGGCGGACGGGUGAGUAACACGUGGAUAACCUACCUAUAAGACUGGGAUAACUUCGGGAAACCGGAGCUAAUACCGGAUAAUAUAUUGAACCGCAUGGUUCAAUAGUGAAAGACGGUUUUGCUGUCACUUAUAGAUGGGUCCGCGCCGCAUUAGCUAGUUGGUAAGGUAACGGCUUACCAAGGCAACGAUGCGUAGCCGACCUGAGAGGGUGAUCGGCCACACUGGAACUGAGACACGGUCCAGACUCCUACGGGAGGCAGCAGUAGGGAAUCUUCCGCAAUGGGCGAAAGCCUGACGGAGCAACGCCGCGUGAGUGAUGAAGGUCUUCGGAUCGUAAAACUCUGUUAUUAGGGAAGAACAAAUGUGUAAGUAACUAUGCACGUCUUGACGGUACCUAAUCAGAAAGCCACGGCUAACUACGUG
rnacentral:rRNA from 1 species